rnacentral:rRNA from 1 species
GACGAACGCUGGCGGCGUGCCUAAUACAUGCAAGUAGAACGCUGAAGAAAGGAGCUUGCUUCUUUUGGAUGAGUUGCGAACGGGUGAGUAACGCGUAGGUAACCUGCCUUGUAGCGGGGGAUAACUAUUGGAAACGAUAGCUAAUACCGCAUAACAGCUUUUGACACAUGUUAGAAGCUUGAAAGAUGCAAUUGCAUCACUACGAGAUGGACCUGCGUUGUAUUAGCUAGUAGGUAGGGUAACGGCCUACCUAGGCGACGAUACAUAGCCGACCCUGAGAGGGUGAUACGGCCACACCUGGGACUGAGACACGGGCCCAGAC